rnacentral:rRNA from 1 species
GACAGCAGCAGCCGCGGGAAUACGUAGGUCCCGAGUGUUGUCCGGACUUAUUGGGCGUAAAGCGAGCGCAGGCGGUUAGAUAAGUCUGAAGUUAAAGGCUGUGGCUUAACCAUAGUACGCUUUGGAAACUGUUUAACUUGAGUGCAAGAGGGGAGAGUGGAAUUCCAUGUGUAGCGGUGAAAUGCGUAGAUAUAUGGAGGAACACCGGUGGCGAAAGCGGCUCUCUGGCUUGUAACUGACGCUGAGGCUCGAAAGCGUGGGGAGCAAACAGGAUUAGAUACCCCAGUAGUCCCUGUCUCUUAUACA